rnacentral:lncRNA from 1 species
UUAGUGGCGUUCGCAUUCUAAAAGUCUUAGCUUAUUUGCUUCCGCUGUGCAAUGAAGAUACCAGUCCAGUCACGCCAAUGCUCUGAUAUUUCAGGGUGUGACAACUACCAUAGCUGAUGAUAUUUGAUGAUAUUGAUGCAUGCUCACAUAGGAACGGACGAGGCCUUAGUGACUUAAUAACAAUGAAAGUCUAUUUGUUCAUGUUUUGUUUCUGAUUUUUCAAUGUAAUGUAAUACAUUUAAUUUAAUAAAACAGAACUU